AUUGAACGCUGGCGGCAGGCCUAACACAUGCAAGUCGAGCGGAUCGGCGGACGGGUGAGUAUUGCCUAGGAAUCUGCCUGGUCGUGGGGGAUAACGUCCGCAAACGGACGCUGAUACCACAUACCAUCAGCUUUGCCCAGAUGGGGUUAGCUUGUGGGUGGGGUAAGGGCAUACCAAGGCGACGAUCCGUAACUGGUCUGAGAGGAUGACCAGUCACACUGGAACUGAGACACGGUCCAGACUCCUACGGGAGGCAGCAGUGGGGAAUAUUGGACAAUGGGCGAAAGCCUGAUGCAGCCAUGCCGCGUGUGUGAAGAAGGUCUUCGGAUUGUAAAGCACUUUAAGUUGGGAGGCGUUACCAACAGAAUAAGCACCGGCUAACUCCGUGCCAGCAGCCGCGGUAAUAC
rnacentral:rRNA from 1 species